ensembl:lncRNA
GCCUGUUGCUGAUGGGUGGGGCUGUGUGCCCACCAGUUAGUUGUUUGGCCUGAGGCCCCCAUCACUGGCACCUGCAGGCGGCUGGGAGGGCCAGGUCUGGGCAUUAACGAGGAGAGGGAGGAGCCUCCGCGAUGGCGCUUGCCUGCAUUGGCUUCACGGGGUAGAAUAAGCUUCCCGGGAUGCACUGCUGCUGUCGCCACCUCUCCAGGAGACUCUCCAAGACCAGCAGGUGGCCCAGGCCCUACGGGAGACCUUCCUGUGCCAGCUGGGUUUCCUUGACCAGGCUGGAUUUAGGACUGUGUCCACCUUGGGCUUCGCACUCUGGCUGGAUUUGGGAUUCAGGAUUUAGGACAUGAUGCUCGGGGAGUGAGGAGAGGCAGGUGCAGAGCCCAGAUUUCAGCCUUGGGGCUUUGCGGUCAGUUCUCCUUGUCGCCUACCAUAAAAUUUAAUGUGAUACAUAUUUAAGACCAAGAAGGGGACCCCGAUUUCUUGAUUUAUACUAUGGGGGAUGCUGAUCCCCACCACAACCCAUGGAUGAUACUGCAGGUUUAAGUGCAAUACCCUUCAAGUCACGCUUUACAGCCAGGCCAUUGACUCAGCUAUUCAGCAUCUACUGUGUGCCAGCAACAACUCGGGAUAAGAGACAAAGUCCCCAGCCUCACAGAACUGACGUUAGAGGGGAGACACGGGAAAGACAAGGACCACUUGUGUUACGAGGUGUUAAAGGAACAAUGGGGGCACCAUGGGCCAAGGAGGGCCCCGGGAUGGGGAGUGACAUGGGAGCAGGGACUUGGAGGGUGAGGGCCAUUAACAACAGUCCAUGCAGAGGGAGAGCUGUGCAGAGGCACAGAGGUGAGAGUUUUACACGUUUGAGUAGCAGGCGAGUAAUCUGACCUGGCUGCCCUUGGAGCUCUUAAGAGAAGGAAGGACCAGGUGAAGAAGGAAACAGACAAAACAGGCUCUAUCUUGAAAGCAGGACUCCAUCUUGGGCCGGACUGUGGACUUUGAGCUAUAUGCCCAGUACCUAUGGAAACGACAUACCAACUGGAAAACCAGGCCCCCGGAAGAAAGAGCCCCAGGGCUCAUACCUAGACUCUCCCUCGCCUAAAAGAAUACCCUAAUUAUCUGUGUAACCGAGUAGAAUCACACAUUCUAUUAUGCUUAUUGGGGUAUGACCACAGGCCUAUUGAUAAUUGUCCACUGUUAACUACCUAGGCGUAAGGCACAGGAAUCAGGAGUUAACUUUGACUGUAUCUUUCUUUUCCUUUGUUCAGACUAGUUUCAGGGAAUCUGGGGAGGUGGGUUUGGCGUACACUUAGGGUAUAUAAGGUUUUCACAAAAUCUGGUCGGGGUCCUUGGCUCAGAGAAGACUCUGCUUUGGGCCUCCUGGUGUAAUAAACUGCACUCUAC